GACGUAGGGGGCAAGCGUUAUUCGGAAUCAUUGGGCGUAAAGCGCUCGUAGGCGGAUCGGACAGUCGGUGAAGAAAGACCCGGGCUCAACUCGGGGAACGGCACCGAUACUAUCGAUCUUGAGGCAAUCAGAGGGUGAUGGAAUUCCCGGUGUAGAGGUGAAAUUCGUAGAUAUUGGGAAGAACACCGGUGGCGAAGGCGGCUCUCUGGACCGACACUGACGCUGAGGCGCGAAAGCGUGGGGAGCAAACAGG
rnacentral:rRNA from 1 species